GAUGAACGCUGGCGGCGUGCCUAAUACAUGCAAGUCGAGCGAACAGACGAGGAGCUUGCUCCUCUGACGUUAGCGGCGGACGGGUGAGUAACACGUGGAUAACCUACCUAUAAGACUGGGAUAACUUCGGGAAACCGGAGCUAAUACCGGAUAAUAUAUUGAACCGCAUGGUUCAAUAGUGAAAGACGGUUUUGCUGUCACUUAUAGAUGGAUCCGCGCCGCAUUAGCUAGUUGGUAAGGUAACGGCUUACCAAGGCAACGAUGCGUAGCCGACCUGAGAGGGUGAUCGGCCACACUGAGACUGAGACACGGUCCAGACUCCUACGGGAGGCAGCAGUAGGGAAUCUUCCGCAAUGGGCGAAAGCCUGACGGAGCAACGCCGCGUGAGUGAUGAAGGUCUUCGGAUCGUAAAACUCUGUUAUUAGGGAAGAACAAAUGUGUAAGUAACUAUGCACGUCUUGACGGUACCUAAUCAGAAAGCCACGGCUAACUACGUG
rnacentral:rRNA from 1 species